CUUGUUACACAGCGUUAGUUUCAACUGAAAUGACAAAAUCAGACUGUGAGGAGAGGAGCCUUUUCUCCAGUGUCUCUCCUGGCUGAGGUCACCGGCUCAGAGGCAUUGAGCAGGUGUUCUGUACCCGCACCUGGACACGGCACUUGUCACCCCGUCGAGGACCACUCACACAUGAACUCUUGCUCUUAUAAAACAGAAAAACUAGACUCCGAUUCUAAGACAAUGCAGAUCUUCACAACCAGGCUGCAUCCAUAUCUUGGCCCAAGAUGAACCAAACCAUCCACACGGAAGCAGGA
rnacentral:lncRNA from 1 species